CCUACGGGUGGCUGCAGUGAGGAAUAUUGGUCAAUGGACGAGAGUCUGAACCAGCCAAGUAGCGUGAAGGAUGACUGCCCUAUGGGUUGUAAACUUCUUUUAUAUGGGAAUAAAACAGGGUAUGCAUACCCUCUUGUAUGUACCAUAUGAAUAAGGAUCGGCUAACUCCGUGCCAGCAGCCGCGGUAAUACGGAGGAUCCGAGCGUUAUCCGGAUUUAUUGGGUUUAAAGGGAGCGUAGGUGGAUUGUUAAGUCAGUUGUGAAAGUUUGCGGCUCAACCCCGGCCCGCCGUUGAAACUGGCAGUCUCGAGUUGGAGAGAAGUAUGCGGAAUGCGCGGUGUAGCGGUGAAAUGCAUAGAUAUCGCGCAGAACUCCGAUUGCGAAGGCAGCAUGCCGGCUCCACACUGACGCUGAGGCACGAAAGCGUGGGUAUCGAACAGGAUUAGAUACCCUGGUAGUC
rnacentral:rRNA from 1 species